CCUGGUGAUCAUAGCGUGGGAGUCACACCCGUUCUCAUCUCGAACACGGAAGUUAAGCCCCUCUGCGCCGAUGGUACUGUAACGGGAGAGUAGGUCGUUGCCAGGC
rnacentral:rRNA from 1 species